AGAGUUUGAUCAUGGCUCAGAACGAACGCUGGCGGCAGGCUUAACACAUGCAAGUCGAACGCAUCCUUCGGGGUGAGUGGCAGACGGGUGAGUAACGCGUGGGAACGUGCCCUUCAGUUCGGGAUAACCCAGGGAAACUUGGGCUAAUACCGGAUACGUGCGAGAGCAGAAAGAUUUAUCGCUGAAGGAUCGGCCCGCGUCUGAUUAGCUAGUUGGUGAGGUAAUGGCUCACCAAGGCGACGAUCAGUAGCUGGUCUGAGAGGAUGAUCAGCCACAUUGGGACUGAGACACGGCCCAAACUCCUACGGGAGGCAGCAGUGGGGAAUAUUGGACAAUGGGCGCAAGCCUGAUCCAGCCAUGCCGCGUGAGUGAUGAAGGCCUUAGGGUUGUAAAGCUCUUUCGUCCGGGACGAUAAUGACGGUACCGGAAGAAGAAGCCCCGGCUAACUUCGUGCCAGCAGCCGCGGUAAUACGAAGGGGGCUAGCGUUGUUCGGAAUCACUGGGCGUAAAGGGCGCGUAGGCGGCUUUAUAAGUCGGGGGUGAAAGCCUGUGGCUCAACCACAGAAUUGCCUUCGAUACUGUAGAGCUUGAGACCGGAAGAGGUAAGUGGAACUGCGAGUGUAGAGGUGAAAUUCGUAGAUAUUCGCAAGAACACCAGUGGCGAAGGCGGCUUACUGGUCCGGUUCUGACGCUGAGGCGCGAAAGCGUGGGGAGCAAACAGGAUUAGAUACCCUAGUAGUCC
rnacentral:rRNA from 1 species